rnacentral:rRNA from 2 species
UAGGGAAUCUUCCACAAUGGACGAAAGUCUGAUGGAGCAACGCCGCGUGAAUGAAGAAGGCCUUCGGGUCGUAAAAUUCUGUUGUCAGAGAAGAACGUGCGUGAGAGUAACUGUUCACGUAUUGACGGUAUCUGACCAGAAAGCCACGGCUAACUACGUGCCAGCAGCCGCGGUAAUACGUAGGUGGCGAGCGUUGUCCGGAUUUAUUGGGCGUAAAGGGAACGCAGGCGGUCUUUUAAGUCUGAUGUGAAAGCCUUCGGCUUAACCGAAGUAGUGCAUUGGAAACUGGAAGACUUGAGUGCAGAAGAGGAGAGUGGAACUCCAUGUGUAGCGGUGAAAUGCGUAGAUAUAUGGAAGAACACCAGUGGCGAAAGCGGCUCUCUGGUCUGUAACUGACGCUGAGGUUCGAAAGCGUGGGUAGCAAACAGG